GUCAGACUCACGUUGAUCGUCCUGACAUUGUUACGCGUGUUUUCAAUAUAAAAUUUGAAGAAUUUUUAGAAGAUGUAAAGGAUGGAUCAGCAUUUGGAGCUAUUCAAGCUUAUUUGUAUGUGGUGGAAUUUCAAAAGAGAGGGCUUCCUCAUACUCAUACUCUUAUCUGGCUUAAAGAGAGUACGAAGGAUCCUUCGCCUGCUUUUAUAGAUAAUCUGGUGUGUGCUGAGUUACCAGAUCCAGUGGUUGACCCUUUGGGAUAUAUACUUGUGGAUGAAUUCAUGGUUCACGGCCCAUGUGGUAUGUUGGAUGACAAGUGCCCUUGUAUGAAAGAUGGCACUUGCUCAAAGCGAUUUCCAAAGUCUUUUAACAGUGAGACGAUGGUGGAUGAGAUGGGGUUUCCUGUAUAUCGUCGACGCCCCUCUGCUAAUUUUGUUCUUAGAAAGAAGGGGACUCUUCGUUUGGAUAAUCAAUGGGUUGUCCCCUACAAUAUGAAAUUGCUCAAAAAGUUUCAGGCUCAUAUAAAUGUUGAGUGGUGCAAUAAGACAAAUCUUCUUAAGUAUUUGUUUAAGUAUCUCACAAAAGGCCCUGAUGUAGCACGGUUCCGAAUCCGUUCUGAAAAUGAAAAUAGAAGCGUGUAUGCUGUCCGUAAUCCAACUGGGAGGAAUGAAAUCGAUGAAUAUGUUAAAUGCAGGUAUUUAUCUGCUUGCGAAUCAUUUUGGAGAAUGUUUGGCUAUGAUAUUCAUGGUCGACAACCUUCUGUCGAGAGAUUAGUGGUGCAUAUGCCUGCUAUGAAUCGAGUUAUUUUUCAUGAAA